AACCUUAUGGACCUGCGGGCGUAUACCUGCGGAGGGAUCAUUACACAAUAACAUAUGAAGGCUGUACGCGGCUGCGCCCUCGGGCCAGUUGGCUGAGGCUGGAGUAUUUAUUACCCUUGUCUUUUGCGCACUUGUUGUUUCCUGGGCGGGUUCGCCCGCCACCAGGACCACAUGAUAAACCUUUUUUUAUGCAGUUGCAAUCAGCGUCAGUACAACAAAUGUAAAUCAUUUACAACUUUU
rnacentral:misc_RNA from 1 species